UUUCCGUAGGUGAACCUGCGGAAGGAUUAUUACAGAGUUCAUGCCCUCACGGGUAGAUCUCCCACCCUUGAAUAUUUAUACCUUAGUUGCUUUGGCAGGCCGUGGAAACACCAUGGGCUCCGGCUUAUGCGUGCCUGCCAGAGGAAACAAACUCUGUUUUUAGUGAUGUCUGAGUACUAUAUAAUAGUUAAAACUUUCAACAACGGAUCUCUUGGUUCUG
rnacentral:misc_RNA from 1 species